rnacentral:lncRNA from 1 species
CUUUUGGGCUUGUGUACAGACUGCUGCCACGCUGCCUGGCUAGGUCGCUCUAUCUGAAGUACGCCUGGCAGACAGACUGAUUGCAGCAAGAGAAGCAGCUUCAAUGCCAGAUGGAAAGGAAACAAUGUGAGACUUUUUGCUUGUGUUUCUUUAAGCAGAGUGUUACAGACCUUCUGGAUCCAUGAGGGACUCAGUGAAGGUGUUCAUCGACACAUUCAGAAUCUGAAUGCUUUGCUAUUGCCUUCCAUAUGGGGACACCUGGGAAAAUGACUUACCAUUGAUCAUUUGUCAAAGGAAGAGAAGAAAGAAAGGACACUAAUGUUUACUUAACAUCCACUAUGUGCCAGACACUAUGCUAGUAGACUUUUUAUCAAAUUAAGUACCAUUCUAACAAUGAUAAAUUCUUCACUGCUAAGGCAAGUUUUUUACUAGGAUGUAUGAUUCCCUAACAUUAUUUGGAUAUUCCAAUCCCUGCAUCCUACCCAGGCAACUUAAGAAUCUCAAUUAGAGAUGAACAAGGGAAGUAAGAUGAAACCUGCUAGAAAUGAAAACACUAAUCCAGCAGCCACCUCUGAAUAACAUGAAUAUAACGGGCUAUAAAUUAAUGAUCACUUCCUGAAAAAUUGUGUACAUUCCAGCAAUAUGGCAUAGCAGAAAUGUUUUGGGGAAAAUACUUGGUUUCAAGCCACAGCCC